CUCCCGCUGGCCCCGCCCCUUCCUCUCCUCCGUUUCCGGUUCCGCUCCCGCCUUCCCCCCCUCCCCGGCCGGGCCCGUAACCGGCUUUUCUUCCCUCUUCUGUGGCUUCGGGCGGCCGUUGCUUCCCUCGGGAGGCUUGCCUUCUUGCCGGUUUCCGCCGCCUUUUUUUUCCGGCCUUCUUUCUCGUCCUCCCUCACGCUCCCUCACACACGCCCGCGGUUGCCAUUGGACGCUCGGCGGGAUGGGCGUCGAGGUCAUGCCUUGAUUGCAGCUCUUGAUUGCAUCCCUUAAGCCAGCAAACCCUGCAAGGAUCAAAAUUUAUAAAAAAAACGGCGAAGACCCGAAUUCUUGGGGCGCCUCUGAUGAAGGAUCCCGUGGGUGGGGAUGGUGGGAUAUAUUUUUUCAACCAGCCUUGUCACGAACAGCUCAGGGGUUCUUGGAUCAAAGCUCUCGGUUUGCUGGAAUCAAGAUAUAUUGCAUCGGCAGCGUUCCCACCGUCUAUUAAGGAAAGGAUCUGAAAAAAAGGAAUGAAAUAUUCUGCUUCGCUGUUAUUACUUAAAAAGAGCAAAAUGUGACAGAGUUGGAUUUUUCCCCCUCCCUCCCCAAAUAAUCCCACUUUAGUGGAAGGGAAAAAUUUUUAAGGUAGUCCUUGACUUGCAACAGUUCAUUUAGUGACGGUUGAAAGAAAGAAGGGAACCGGAAAAAAAGGGACGUGACUGUUUUUUUCACACUUACGACCACUGCAGCAUCCCCAGGGUCACAUGAUUAAAAUUCAGACGGUUAGUAAUUGACUCCUA